rnacentral:rRNA from 1 species
AUUGAACGCUGGCGGCAUGCCUUACACAUGCAAGUCGAACGGCAGCACGGGUGCUUGCACCUGGUGGCGAGUGGCGAACGGGUGAGUAAUACAUCGGAACGUACCUUAUCGUGGGGGAUAACGCAGCGAAAGCUGUGAUAAUACCGCAUACGCCCUGAUGGGGAAAGCGGGGGAUCGCAAGACCUCGCGCGAUUAGAGCGGCCGAUGCCCGAUUAGCUUGUUGGUGGGGUAAAAGCCCACCAAGGCGACGAUCAGUAGCUGGUCUGAGAGGACGAUCAGCCACACUGGGACUGAGACACGGCCCAGACUCCUACGGGAGGCAGCAGUGGGGAAUUUUGGACAAUGGGGGCAACCCUGAUCCAGCAAUGCCGCGUGAGUGAAGAAGGCCUUCGGGUUGUAAAGCUCUUUUGUCAGGGAAGAAACACCGGCUCUAACACAGUCCGGGAAUGACGGUACCUGAAGAAUAAGCACCGGCUAACUACGUGCCAGCCGCCGCGGUAA